GUGUGUGAGUGAGUCUUGGGGAGAAAUGAGCAGCAGCCCCGCCCGCUGCAGAGAGCCGACAGGAUUGAAACAGCAGUCAGCUUUUAGCGUCUUUAUAGUAAAACAUCGUUACAGCGUACAUUGGUGUUAAAAUGCGUACAGAUUGGCAGGACGGUCUGAAUUGUUUUGCACGGUCUAUCGCU